rnacentral:lncRNA from 1 species
ACACCCUUUUGUGUGUGGAGGAUGACCAAGAAACACAAAGGGGUGUGCUCGAGGAUCAAGUUUAGGGCGAUUGUGAGCGAUGGUUGAGGCCUAAACAAGGCAUCCGAAGACUCGAAGAUGUUCAUAUGUGGUGGAUUCCUUAGUAAGGAUGGUGUAGGGUGUUUGAUUCUUGAUAACCGGGGAAGGAAGUCAAUUACCGAGAUGGGUAGCAUGGAGGAAUGCAUACCCCUAAAAAGGUAAGGGUAGACAUGAUUGAAAAAGUAAUAAUUGAGUGACGACAGGAACGCAUUAAUGCUUGCGCUCAACACGUCUGUUUUGUUAGGAGGUAUAAACACAAGUAGUUUUAUGAAUGAUACCUAUUAGAGCUGGUCUUCUUUUAUUUAUUGGUUUACUAAGAAAUACGAGAGGAUCGAUCUUGUAUCAUAUAAUCUCAGAGUUUUCAAAUCGAGAUUUUGAUUGUUUUGAAUCAAGAUUUUGAAAGGAUUAUGGUUUGACAAAAAUAGUCUCAAGUCCCUCCUCAAAAGUCAAAAGAUAUUCGCACUGACGACAAAUGAUAUUUCCACCGAACCGAUUAAUCGGUAUCGGUUAUUUCUUUGUCCUUUUGUCGACAUAGUAAUAGUGAGGGACACAAUUAUUCUGUCCACUCUUCCUCCAUCUUCUUAAACUCUUCCUCAUCUUCUUUUUCUUUUUCUCAUAUGAUGCCACUGAAGCUUCCUCCUUCAUCUUGCAUUUAUUUGUUUAGAGAUUGGAGUUUUAAUUUGUCUCCUGACAAACGCUGGAACUUCCUCUCUUAGGUUGUUUUGAGAUCAGAAUUUUAAUUUGUUUCUCCAGCCAAAACAACGACAACAUCCUUCAAAGCUCUCUUUGCUGUGAAGAUUUUUAUGUUCAUAGUUAUCUCGUUCCUUUUGUUCAUUUCUUGGUUUAUGAGGCAAUGCCUCCGUGAGGUGAUCGUCGCUACCAAAAAACCCUCAAGGAGGUUGAGCAAAAGCACCAAUGCGAUAGAUAAGUAGGUGACCUUUUUGAUAGAUUGUAUUUUCUGUUUCUGUGUAGCUAAUGGUUGUUUAUGUUUUCGAAGAUGUUCUCUUAGAUUGUCUUCUAAUGAACAAGUAGUCUUUGUAGGUAACUGAAAUUAAACUUGCUUUUAUUAAUAGUAUGUGGUUACAGUGUAUUUGACGGUAGUACAAGCAAUUGAUUUAGCAUAAUUCCCAUUACCCUGGUUAACAACAACAUUCUGGAGUCUUCUUUCUACUUUUUCUCUUUUGGAUCUAUGGUCUUUUGUCUGAAACUCUAUUGCUCUCUUCUCUCUGUGGUUGUCAUUCAUAGAAAAUGAAGGUACGAGUUUCUCCUCAGUAGAUCGGUGUUCCUUAUAGUAUAUUUUGUGGUUGAUGGAUAUAAGCUAGACUCAGAACAAAAAUCCUACCUGACCAUGGAGCUUGGACAAAUAUAUUUCCAUUGGGAUCGUAGAUUGCACCAUAGUUUCCUUAAAAAAAGCCUUUCUCUAUGAGCUGGCCAGCGCUUAGAAAACUCAUCUUGAUACCGGGAACCAGUAGAACAUCUUGUAUGAUAAGUGGACCUAGCAUGACAAAUCCUUUUCCCUUGACUUUCAACUUGGUAUCUCCAACCGUAAUAGAUGUAUUAAAAUUAUAGUCAACCCCAAAGAAAAUAUUUUCGUUAGGAGAGAUGUGAUUAGUACAUCCGCUAUCGAUUAACCAUUCGGAUUUCUUCGCUUUGCAAAAAGGACAAAAACCAAGAGGAUAAUAAUAACCUGUAGUACUUCCAGUUUCUCUAGUAUGUUGUAUGGUAUAGGUAGGUGGUGUCACAGUUGUACCCUUUCCUUUGUCUAUUCCCCUGAAGGUCUCCAUAUGAUUUUGUCCUUCGGUAAUCGAUUUGAGCAGAACCCUUAGUAAAGUGCAAUAUUCUCUAAGUUUAAAUACAAGACUAAGGAAGUCCGAUCCUUAAAAAAUAAACCUGGCCGAUCAUAUUGUUUUUGUCUUGGAGUACCUGUAAGCCCGAUAGAUAUUGACUACCAUUAAUUAUGUUUCACUUCUCUGUUCAUCUCUCACAUUUCCGACAUGAGGAUGAAGUAGGAGAUGCAUUAUUGUGCACAAGCAAUUGUCGCAUCCAUCGUCACCUCUUUUCUUUAAAACUGAGAAGUUAUUUAUUGGACCUCUCUGAUUGCUUCUUGCUAACCAGUUAACCCUUAUUCUACCCAAAUCUAAGUUUUGAAGUUCUUCCUUGAGUCCCAUUUAAAAAAGAUAGUUUUCUCUAAUUUCUCUCAAGCUCUGAUUGGGGUGAAUUUUGUUCUGCUUGUGGCCAUCUUUUUUAUCUUGGGCAUAUCUUGUUUCAUGCAGCACUUCAACUAUGUAGAAGAGCAACGACAUCCAGAGAAUCUUCCGAUUGAAUAUCAGGCGAAUUUGAUCUCUUUCCUUGAUUAACUAUUGUAUGGUAUCGAGUUUCUAUUCUGGAAUAAAUUGUGUUAUUUUAGUUUCUGUUUGUUUUGUGUGGUUUUGUUUUGAUUUUGAGGACGAAAUCUUUUUAAGGAGAAGAGAAAUGUAAUACCCUAAUCUUAAUAG